AACACUGUUAACCUGCGGUACCUGCGGAGGGAUCAUUACCGAGUUACCAAACUCAAACCCACCGUGAACCUGAAACCGUUGCUUCGGCGGGCGCCUCCCCCGGGAGAGCCCGCCGGAGGUAUACCACACUAGUCUCUACUGCGGCGUGCCGCAUCUUGUCCUCUGAAUAAAGCUUCAAAAAAAAAGUCAAAACUUUCAACAAUGGAUCU
rnacentral:misc_RNA from 1 species